GAGGGGCCCGCCCGCCUCCGCAGGAAGUGCAGCCGGGCGGCCUGCCCGGGGGAGGACGCCGGAGCCGCCGCCGGCCCCUGGCCCCGGCCCGGGUCCCGCGAGCAGCUUCCUGCUGAUGUGCACCCUGAGAGGCGGCAGGUGGUGGCUCCUGGCUUGGGUCCCUGCCACCCACGUGGGAGACCCAGCUGGAGUUCCUGGCUCCCGGCUUUGGCCUGGUUCCUGGCUGUUGCAGGCAUUUGAGCAUUGAACCACGCUCACCUUGCCCAGCUCCUCAGUCCACGCGCACGUCUCUUUGCUGAACCUGUAACAAAACGCAUCACAAACCUUGCGAUUCGGGCGUGUGUCUCUCCGGUGACUGGCAGGUUUCCGGUUUUCCCAGCCCCGUUCGUUCACUGGAAAGACAGUCUUCUGCUGGGCAGUGGCCAUGUACUUCUGCAGGACAGCAUUUGACCAAACACGCCCAGUUUAUCUCUGCACUGCUCCCCGCCGUUGUGGCAGCCGCUGUCUGGAUUCCUGUAGCCUUGUGGUGAGGGAACCUGUGCUUGGAGGAAGGAAUGAGAGUCAGCGACAGCCGGGUCUCACAGCCGCACCUGCCCAGGUGUUGCAGAAACUCCUGUCUCCAUAGCUACCCUAACAUCACCUCCAACAUCCUCGUGUUUCAGCCGUGCCGGGGGAUCGGCACCUAACCCGUCGGAGCAUGGGUCGGCCUGGGUGAUCCGCCCUUGGGUGCAGAGGAACGGGUCAGAGACGCGAUGGGGCAGACGUGGCUUCGUAAUCCGGGACACGUGCACGCCAAUGACGCCCGUGUUGAUCUUGUAGCCGCGGCCCUGCAGAGAGACCCCCGAGUUGGGUUGAACCCGUAUGGUCUUGCUGGUUGCACAGCUGGGUAGAGGGGGCCCCAGGGGCUGACCGCUGGUUGCCCAGUGUGGGAGGUGGCUCUGCACGUCGCCCUGACAUCUUUUCUGUGUCUGGUCCGGCUGCAGGACCCUCAUACAAAAGCAGCUGCUUUCGUGUCCCGCUCCGCCCCGGGGCUUCUCGCCUGCCCAGGACUGGAGAGCUGCGUCUCUCUCCCCGAGACACACUCGCGCCUCUGCCGUGAUGGGGGGCAGACGUGAAAACCCUGUGGCCUCGCAGGUCUCUCAUCUUGCAGCUCAACUCUGACCAAACCCCAACAGACGGAAAACACAGUGCUCGAAGGUAGUUGUACAUUUCCUGGUAGGCACGGUUUUAAACGUGAGAAGACACAAGGGACAUUAAUUUUAAUCGUGCAUUUGGUUUCUGUAUGUGCUAUGAUUCAUCAUUCAAUAUGUAAUCGAUGUAAAAUUGUGAAAGGAUUUUUUAAAAUGAUGAUGC